rnacentral:rRNA from 1 species
UACGAAGGGGGCUAGCGUUGCUCGGAAUCACUGGGCGUAAAGGGUGCGUAGGCGGGUUUUUAAGUCAGAGGUGAAAUCCUGGAGCUCAACUCCAGAACUGCCUUUGAUACUGAAGAUCUUGAGUUCGGGAGAGGUGAGUGGAACUGCGAGUGUAGAGGUGAAAUUCGUAGAUAUUCGCAAGAACACCAGUGGCGAAGGCGGCUCACUGGCCCGAUACUGACGCUGAGGCACGAAAGCGUGGGGGAGCAAACAGG